rnacentral:rRNA from 1 species
GUAGGUGGCAAGCGUUGUCCGGAAUUAUUGGGCGUAAGGCGCGCGCAGGCGGUCCUUUAAGUCUGAUGUGAAAGCCCACGGCUCAACCGUGGAGGGUCAUUGGAAACUGGGGGACUUGAGUACAGAAGAGGAAAGCGGAAUUCCAAGUGUAGCGGUGAAAUGCGUAGAGAUUUGGAGGAACACCAGUGGCGAAGGCGGCUUUCUGGUCUGUAACUGACGCUGAGGCGCGAAAGCGUGGGGAGCAAACAGGGAUUAGAUACCCUGGUAGUCCACGCCGUAAACGAUGAGUGCUAAGUGUUAGGGGGUUUCCGCCCCUUAGUGCUGCAGCUAACGCAUUAAGCACUCCGCCUGGGGAUACGGCCGCAAGGCUG